UUUCAUAAAUUUCCAUUCAUUAAAAUAGAGGAGAAAGAGUACAAAGUUCCUAACAAUUAUAAUCGCGAGCAUCGUUCGUUCUUUAAUCAAAAAUAUAUGAAUUAUUCGAUUUAGAAUCGCUCUUUUUCCCCCUUUUGCAAUCAUGCAGGGCUCCCAUCCCUGUGGGAAUAAAGAUCUGCGUUACGUAACAGUUUCUAAAAGUUUCAAACGAUAAAGGAAACGGGAAAACAGAAGCAGUUAGAAACGGAGAUUGUAAACAUGCAAUCUUACAGCAUUUUCUGUCUGUGGACUGGCACGUGCAGCUGCGGAUAUCAGCGCGUGUGCUGUAGGGUCUCCGUCCACUACACUUUGUUGGAUUAAGAUUACCAGUUUUGUGGAUUACCUGUGUGUAUGUCACUGGAGUGGACGCUGGUGUGUAAUACUGACUGGAAGCAGGAGUGUACAUUGCUCCUGCUUCUCCAACAGCGUACACAGGAUAUGUCCUGCGAACAUACAAUGUUUGUAAUUAAACUUCAUCGAAGACCUUGGAAAAACUUUAUCGAAGACCUCAUCAUUGGAUAGAAUAUUUUUCUGCAUUGAUCUGUUGCACCUUCCUUUGAUUAAAAGAUCCAACACGUAAUUAAUAAAAUGCGGAGAACCACUGACGAUAGUGCCAGCUGAUGUGGACGCAGUGUCUGAAUCCACAAGGGUGUGCUGACCAGAGUGGGUAGUGUUCACUACAACUUGUGCUGUGACGUGUGCUGGGGUACCUGUCGAGCCGUUGGAAGAGUCUGCAGCUGCUUCAAGCGGAUCCUGAACCAAUAACUAAAUUAUUAUUUAUAGUAUGCAUGUUCUCGUCAUCAACUGUUAGGGUCUAUAUAAUAACAAUAUCAGUGUUUACAAAAGAUUUCUUUCGAGUAUACACUUCGAUAACAUAUAAGUAAUAAAUCAAGUCUGGUUUUUUGUAAAUUAUAAUCUAAGCGCACACGAAAUAUUAAAAUAAUAUACUUUGGUUGUAGAUUCGAGUAUAAAACAAACUUUUUGCAAUGUUAAAUUAAGGCAGAGAAGAAAUUUUAUUGCAAGUGGAUGCAAAAUGUUCAAAUAACAUACUCUAGUUGUAGAUUUAAAUAUAAAACAAGUUAAUUGCAAUGUUAAAUUAUUCCAGAGAAGAAAUCUUAUCGCAAGCGCACGCAAAAUAUUCAAAUAAUAUACUUUUGUUGUAAGUUUAAAUAUAAAACAAGCUUCUUGCAACGAAUGAAAGAAGAAAUCUUACUUUGAAUGAAUAAUCAAAGUAA